UACGUAGGGUGCAAGCGUUGUCCGGAAUUAUUGGGCGUAAAGAGCUCGUAGGCGGCCUGUCGCGUCGGCUGUGAAAACCCGCGGCUCAACUGCGGGCUUGCAGUCGAUACGGGGCAGGCUAGAGUUCGGUAGGGGAGAUCGGAAUUCCUGGUGUAGCGGUGAAAUGCGCAGAUAUCAGGAGGAACACCGGUGGCGAAGGCGGAUCUCUGGGCCGAUACUGACGCUGAGGAGCGAAAGCGUGGGGAGCGAACAGG
rnacentral:rRNA from 1 species